ensembl:lncRNA
UGCAGUUUGAUGAACUGAAGCUUGAUGAAUGGUUGCAAGAUCAGACCUUUACACCAAUCAACUCAAAGCUGCCUUUAAAGACCCUUCACCUCUAUGUUUAUAAUGUUGCCUUCUAGAAAAAACACUAUUCAAUAUAAACCUUGCUUAUUUCCCUUUGCAGUAGCAUUAAAUCCUGAAAUUAAAUUAAUUAGUUGCUAAUUUUCACUCUGUAAAAAUGUGUUGACACAAGGAGUAUAAUAAACAGUGGUUGGGUCACAUAAAUAGUGAAGCAUUUACCUGACCCUGAGCCAUUAUUAUAAUUAGCUCACUCUCACACAUUAUAGUCGGUUCUUCAAUCCGCCACUCAGUGAACAUCCGAAAGGACAUCCACAAAACAGUACGAGCUCACAGGCCCAGACAGACUGGGGAGAACUGUUUCCAUCCUGCAAUAGCAUAGCAGAAUGCAGUGAUCAAGUACAGCAGGAAUGGCUGUAGAAGAGCAGAGAUGAAGAUCUCCCACUUCUCCUCACAUCUGAGUUGACUCAGGUUCUGUGGGCAAACAUACCUGUGAGUUUCUUUCACAGAGAGGAACAGUUUCAACAGGAAAAGAUGGCAGCAGAGGGAUUGUCUGACAAAAUGGAGUCUGACCUGGAAAGGCAUAUGAAGUGUGGAACUGAACUCCUCCAUGUGGAAAAAAUGGAACCCAUUGACAUUCAUUGAUGUUUGUUGAACAUUUAUGGAGACCAAACAGUGGAUGUGAGCGCUGCGAGGUGGACUUCUACAUUACUGCAGCUCUGAAAUCUCAACAGUUUACAUGCUGAACUGCCGGAGAGAGGCCCUGGGAAGCACAAAACCUCAACAAUGAUGCCAUGGCAUGGCAGAAAGAUUCAAACUGAGGACGUUCGUGAAAAGGUUUUCGCUGAGUCAAAGAGAUUUUGUGAGACUCCAGCCCAGUAUAG